rnacentral:rRNA from 1 species
AACAAACGCUGGCGGCAGGCUUAACACAUGCAAGUCGACCGAGAUCUUCGGAUCUAGUGGCAGACGGGUGAGGAACACGUGGGAACAUCCCUUUCAGUUCGGAAUAACGUUGGGAAACUAACGCUAAUACCGGAUCCGUCCUUCGGGAGAAAGAUUUAUCGCUGAAAGAUUGGCCCGCGUCUGAUUAGCUAGUUGGUGAGGUAAUGGCUCACCAAGGCUACGAUCAGUAGCUGAUCUGAGAGGAUGAUCAGCCCCAUUGGGACUGAGACACGGCCCAAACUCCUACGGGAGGCAACAGUGGGGAAUAUUGGACAAUGGGCGCAAGCCUGAUCCAGCCAUGCCGCGUGAGUGAUGACGGCCUUCGGGUUGUAAAGCUCUUUUGUCCGGGGAGAUAAUGACUGUACCGGAAGAAUAAGCCCCGGCAAACUUCGUGCCAGCAGCCGCCGCAGUAA